rnacentral:rRNA from 1 species
UACGAAGGGGGCGAGCGUUGUUCGGAAUUACUGGGCGUAAAGGGCGCGCAGGCGGCCUUAGAAGUCAGAUGUGAAAGCCCCGGGCUCAACCUGGGAAUGGCAUUUGAUACUCUGAGGCUGGAGUACGGGAGAGGAGAGUGGAAUUCCCAGUGUAGAGGUGAAAUUCGUAGAUAGUUGGGAAGAACACCGGUGGCGAAGGCGGCUCUCUGGGCCGUAACUGACGCGUGAGGCGCGAAAGCGUGGGGAGCAAACAGG